GCGAGUAUUAUUCACAGCCCGCACUGAGUGCUUAUUCUCAAUACGGUGGUUAUCCACCCUCUUUUGAUUCUGCUGUGUAUCCUCCUCCUCCUGCUCCUCCUGGAUAUCCUCCACCUCCUUCUGCUCCCUCUGGACAUCCUCCUGCUCCACCUGGAUAUCCUCCACCCCCUUCUGCUCCCCCUAGAUAUCCUUCUGCUCCUGCUGGGUAUCCAUCGUCCUCUUCUUCUGCUCCUGCUCCUCCAACCUACUUUCAUUCUACCUCUGGAAACUCUGGUGAAAGGGAUGCAGAGUGCCCUGUUU
rnacentral:lncRNA from 1 species